rnacentral:misc_RNA from 1 species
GUUCGGCGAGAAAAGUUGAUUGAGCUGCUGGAUAUUGAUCUGCAGUGGCGUAUGCACAAGGUAUCUGAUGGUCAGAGGCGUAGAGUCCAAAUCUGCAUGGGUCUCCUUCACCCCUACAAGGUUCUUUUAAUGGAUGAGGUCACCGUUGACUUAGAUGUUGUUGCGAGGAUGGAUUUAUUGGAUUUCUUUAAGGAAGAAUGUGAACAGAGAGGAGCUACAAUUGUCUAUGCAACACAUAUAUUUGAUGGACUGGAGACAUGGGCGACUGAUCUUGUUUACAUCCAAGAAGGAGUUCUGAAGAGGACUGAGAAAUUACCCGAGCUUCCUGAGUUGAAGUCCUCCCCUAAUUUGCUUUCAGUAGUUGAGAACUGGUUGCGUUCUGAGACCCCGAUUGAGAAAAAGAAACCGGCUCCCGCUCCAGCAAAAGCUCAAAAGUCCUCUCCUUUUGGCUCUUCUCCAUUUCAGUCAUCCAGACAUAUGUCACAUUAUCGCUGAUUUACACAUCCUGUUUUCCAGAGUAGAAUUUAAACCUUGCAGGAUUGCCAAUAAAAGAGAUCAGAGCUGGUUCUUCAGUGUUUGCAGCUUGGAAAAUGUUGUCGUUAUCACGGGCUACACCUUUGGCUGAACUCAAAAGUAGGAACUAUGGCAACUCAGGUUACAUUUACGUGCCGAAGCCUGACGAUGUGCCUUUAGUGCAAGUAUCAAUAGUGUUCCAUUCCUCUAUUUAUAAUUAGCCUGCAAUUUCUUGUAACAGUUAUCACAAAGUCAUUGAUCAUUUAUGUUUUUGCAGAAUUAUAAAGAAUAUAUGUCUAAG